AGAGUGGCAGGUGGUUGGUGGAAGAACAGAUGGACUCAGUUGUUUCCCAUAGAUUUAGCCUUUUCCCCAACCUGUUGGAUCUGGACAUAGAAGCAGACUUGGUUCACAUGAGACCUAUGCUACAUGACAGAGGAUGAGAUCUGGGAUAGAGACUACUUGCAGGGAUUAUUUUCCCUCUGGAGGGGACACAGAAAAGAUUCUGCCUUGACUUCUAGGCAACACAGGUAGGGUGGACAUGGGUAAGAGCCCUCUGUGCUAAGAGUGUGCAUUCUGGUUACUAUUCUCUCUCUUUCUCUCUCUCUCUCUCUCUCUCUCUCUGUGUGUGUGUGUGUGUGUGUGUGUGUGUGCACGCGCACACACAUAAAAAGCACAUAAACAUGAAAUCUUAAGGGAAUAGGGGCAUAGCUGGCUUAUGAUUGGAGUAAUAAGGUCCCAUGAAGGUGGGAUAAAGUCGUGACAGUUAGCUGGAAUCUUGAGGGCAAAGGCACACACCUAAAAUCAUCACAUCCUCAAACUCAAGGAGAAGCAGAAGCACCAAAUAAAGCUUUGGCUUGUUCAUCUCAAGGACAGCCCCAGUGAUGGACUUCUGCUACCAAGGCUCGACCAUAUAAGUGUUCCCGAAACUGUGCUGACAACUGAUAUGAAUGUGUCCAACUGGCCAUAAUUGUAGGAGAUAUUUCUCAUUCAAAGUCCCAUGGCCUUUUUUUAAAGUAUCUUGACUAUUUUGAGCAAUUCAUUUCUAGUAUGGGGAUUUGUGGAACACUUGGAGGUAGAGCUUAGCUAGAGGAAUUGUGUCUCUACAAGAUGGAGUACUUCUAAUUCAGCAACAAAAAUAUAUCUACUGAGAACUAUAAGCAAACGCAUGCUCAUACCACCAUGGCUUCUGUGUGUCUUGAAAGCCUGUGCACAAACAAACUCUUCUUCCCUUGAGGGGCUUCUGCUUUGAGAUUUGGUCACAGCUAUUAGAAAAAUCACCAGGACACUGGUUGUGGUACAGAAAUUGAGGAAAAAUAACUCUGUCAAGCAAUGAUUCAUUGGUUGCUUGUGAUGACAUCACAGGGAGACAUUUUGAAGAAUGAUAGCAAAUAGUUCAUAUUAUGCAUUGCCUGUCUUUUCCUCCUCCUAAAUGUUUUAGUAGUUCUUGGUUGCCUACAAAGCACAUAGACUUAAAAUUGGCCAUGACUGAAUAUUGAAUUCAGCCCCAGUUCAUAUAUCAGGACAUGAAAAGAAAGUAGUCAGACUUUGUUUCCCUUGGAAUAUAACAGAAAUGAUCCAAUAAUAUCUAAAUUUCCCACCUUGAAUUAUACAGGAUUCUACUGUCAUCAUUAUAAAGUAGUGCAGCCCUGCCAUAGGAGACUUCUGUCCAUAUCAUUGUGUUCUUCUCCAUUCAUUGGUCCAAACCAAUCACCUAUAAUACAGGUAGUCAAAAGAAUGUCACCAUUUCUCAUUACCAGCUCUUCUAUAUUGUAAUUUUCUCAUUGGUGUGAACAUAAAUAUAUGGCUAAUCC
rnacentral:lncRNA from 1 species